ACAUUGCUAAUAUAUAUGAGGGAUAGGAGGAACGGAACAGUAGUACGUAUUGUUCCGUUUUUGCGGGAAGGCAAAAGCCCUUAUAUACUAACUGCAUACUGCAUAGGUGUAGUACACGGCAAGUACGCGUGUAGUAAACGUGUAAUAGAGGUGUAUGAGUUGACAUAUAUAUGUUUCCCAACUCAUAUUAUAUAAGUCAUAUAGUAUCGUUGGCCAAAAUUAACAAAGUAUCGAUAUAUCCGCUCUUAAAAAAUUGUUUCUCCUCAGCUUUUACAAUAUUUUUUGUAAAUAUAUAGUAUAAUUAAAUGCUAACAAUAAAAGCGAAGGUAUUUCAUUCUUAUUGGAGUGAUUUUUACACUAAAAAUAAAGCGCUUUGCUGCUUCUACAGUUUUGUACAAUCACGUGGGCAUGCAACGAUAAGUCUUUCGGUUUUAAACUCUUUCUCACCAAAAUGGCAAAUUUCAUGGCAACGGUCGAUAAGAAACUUCGAUCAGAAUUGUCACAAAUUCACAAUCAUGCAAGCAUAUUAGUAGAAUUUGCGAACAAUGACAAUUCAUUAGCUGUAGGAUUCACAGCAUGGCUUGAAAAAGAUGAUGCUGCCAGAAUAGAUGAUAUCAUUUUGUUGGAAGAGGAAGUCACAAUCUUCUGGCCCACAUGUGACACUCAAUCUGCUGCUCUUUUAAAACCAAAGCUUCGAAAAGUAAAUUUUGUUAAGCAUGUUGUGAAAGUACUAGCCUAUGGUGAAUGGACAGAUGUGAAGGAACAAAUGGAAAAUAAAGUAAAAUAUGAUAAACUGAAUGUUUCACUAAAUAGCCGUAAAAUUAUCAAAAAGAAGGAAUUUCAUGGCGAGAAACAAAACGACACUCUACCACCCAAGAAAAAGAAAAGAAAAAAUAGCAAAGUAGAACAAAUACAAAAUGAGGCGUUCCUGCAUAGUAUAAAUCAAGAGGAUACAGUAACACUGGAUUCAAGCAACAAUGUCAACUGCUAUAAGCAUUAUUCAGAGAAAGCUAUGCAGAAAAACAAGAACGCAAGUCUAAAGAGGAAACAUGUGGCUAAACUAGAUUAUGACGAUGUAUAUAAUAGUAACGAUUCUGACGGUGAAGUACCAAGUAAUUCACAGUCAGUUAAAUCAAAAGAUUCAAAUCUCUCUACUUCUGACCCAAAGAAGAAAAGUAAGAAUGCGCAUGAUAAAGAAAAUCCUUAUGACAAAAAACAUGAUCAUUUUGAUUUGUCAUAUUCCGAUGACAUUGAAAUAGUCAAUAAAGACAGAGAGAACAGAGCCACAACUCCUUUGCACGAAUUAAAUAAAUCAAAAGAUUUAUUGCUUUCUGAUGAUGGUGAUGGACAAUUCAAUGAUGAUGAAGACGAUAGAAAAAAUAAAAUUCCCACCACCAAAGCAAAAAAAAAGGACAGAAGGAACGUGUGACAUACACUACGCAAGAGUUAGCUUUGGAAACUCAAGAAGGAAUGCCAGAACUUCCUUUAAGUAAGCAAAUCUUGCUCACAUUACCCAAGAACGAUGUGAGGAAGUAUGCUUCUGUGCUUGUAUCAAACGUAUUUACAACCUUGGAAUUAAGAACCCAUUCAGUGACAGGUGAAGCACCAAACUCUAACCCUACUAUGAAGGUUGCGCGUGAACUUCCACGAAUUCGAAAGCAGUAUAUAUACGAUACGGUUCAAAAAGUAUUUAGCGUGUCGACGGCUGUCAGGGCAAAAGUAAACAAGGUUUUGUCUAAUAAGAUAAGUGCAGCCAGGAGGACCUGAACGAAGUGAUAGAAAGAACUAAAAUAUUCCAAAAAUGUAAACCAGGGUGCCAAAAUAUCUGCUUCAAAAUUCUGGCCUAAAAAUGCUAUUUUGCAUUGUCUGAAGGGAUACACUAUAAAAUUAAAUAAGGAUGAAACAGAGUAUUUGAUAAAUGCUAAUUUAGAUUUUUCGAUCAUGUCUACAGAAGAAGCAGAGAAUGAUAAACUCUGGUUAGGACCUGGUUCAUACGUCAAUCGUGACUGUAACCCUAACACAAAGUUGUACUCAUCAAAAAUGAAUGGUGAACUUUGCCUUCGAGCUGUAAAAGACAUACCAGAAGGAGAAGAAAUAACGUGGCGUUAUGGAGAAAACUAUUUUAUAGAUGGUGAAUGCGAAUGUGUCACAUGCCAAACAAAAGAUGUAAAUAAAAAUAAUAAAGCUCUGGAAGUUGAGUCACUUAUGUCUACAAAGGAACCUUUUGUUAAUGUUGAUCAGUUAUGUACGGAACAAACAGGUACAUAUAUUUUUAACGAUUCUACAGGAGCUACAAAUGAGAAAUUUGACUAUGCAAUGGAGGGGUUGAAUAUAUCUAAUAAUAGCAUAAGUUGUACAAUAAAUCCUUACGUAACGGUUAACUUGAACGGUUAACAAUUAAAAAUAUAAAUUCAUCGAAUUGCAGUAUAGAUUCUAUAUCGAAUGUAUCAAGUGAACCACCUGAAGAUAUUUCAAAUUUGUCAAUGAACACAAUCAAUAAUAUUCUGGGAAUAACAGAUUCGUAAUAAGUGUAUAAAAGUUGAUAAAAUACAAUUUUUAUUAAAAAAAAUUAUAAAGGCUUAUUUUUUCUAAUAUAUAUUCUAAUCCUAAGGUUGUCAUAUUGUUAAUUUUUUAUUAGGAUUUAUGCCUAUCAAUAAUUACCAUAAUUUAAUUUCAAUAAAAAUUUUUUGAAUGUUAAAAAAAAUGUAAUAAACAUAUAAAAGGUUACAAAUUUUGUAUGA